rnacentral:rRNA from 1 species
UGGGGAAUUUUGGACAAUGGGGGAAACCCUGAUCCAGCCAUCCCGCGUGUGCGAUGAAGGCCUUCGGGUUGUAAAGCACUUUUGGCAGGAAAGAAACGUCGCGGGUUAAUACCCCGCGAAACUGACGGUACCUGCAGAAUAAGCACCGGCUAACUACGUGCCAGCAGCCGCGGUAAUACGUAGGGUGCAAGCGUUAAUCGGAAUUACUGGGCGUAAAGCGUGCGCAGGCGGUUCGGAAAGAAAGAUGUGAAAUCCCAGAGCUUAACUUUGGAACUGCAUUUUUAACUACCGGGCUAGAGUGUGUCAGAGGGAGGUGGAAUUCCGCGUGUAGCAGUGAAAUGCGUAGAUAUGCGGAGGAACACCGAUGGCGAAGGCAGCCUCCUGGGAUAACACUGACGCUCAUGCACGAAAGCGUGGGGAGCAAACAGGAUUAGAUACCCUGGUAGUCCACGCCCUAAACGAUGUCAACUAGCUGUUGGGGCCUUCGGGCCUUGGCAGCGCAGCUAACGCGUGAAGUUGACCGCCUGGGGAGUACGGUCGCAAGAUUAAAACUCAAAUGAAUUG